rnacentral:miRNA from 1 species
CGGACAACGAUGGCAAUGCU